rnacentral:rRNA from 1 species
GACGAACGCUGGCGGCGUGCCUAACACAUGCAAGUCGAACGGAACUGUUUUGAAAGAUUUCUUCGGAAUGAAUUUGAUUUAGUUUAGUGGCGGACGGGUGAGUAACGCGUGAGUAACCUGCCUUCAAGAGGGGAAUAACAUUCUGAAAAGAAUGCUAAUACCGCAUGACAUAUCGGAACCACAUGGUUUUGAUAUCAAAGAUUUUAUCGCUUGAAGAUGGACUCGCGUCCGAUUAGUUAGUUGGUGAGGUAACGGCUCACCAAGACCGCGAUCGGUAGCCGGACUGAGAGGUUGAACGGCCACAUUGGGACUGAGACACGGCCCAGACUCCUACGGGAGGCAGCAGUGGGGGAUAUUGCGCAAUGGGGGCAACCCUGACGCAGUAACGCCGCGUGAAGGAUGAAGGUUUUCGGAUUGUAAACUUCUUUUAUUAAGGACGAAAAAUGACGGUACUUAAUGAAUAAGCUCCGGCUAACUACGUG